rnacentral:rRNA from 1 species
ACGUGUCCUACGGGGCGCUAGUACAGUGGCGCACGGGUGAGUAACGCGUAGGCAACCUGCCCUCGAGUGGGGAAUAACCUUCGGAAACGAUGGCUAAUACCGCAUGAAGUUCUGCACCGCAUGGUGCAGCAUGAAAGUUUUUAACGCUCGGGGAUGGGCCUGCGUCGGAUUAGUUAGUAGGUAAGGUAACGGCUUACCUAGACAACGAUCCGUAGCUGGUCUGAGAGGACGAUCAGUCACACUGGCACUGAGACACGGGCCAGACUUCUACGGAAGGCAGCAGUAGGGAAUCUUGGGCAAUGGGCGCAAGCCUGACCCAGCCACGCCGCGUGGAGGAUGACACCCUUAUGGGGCGUAAACUCCUUUUAUACGGAAAGAAAGCUUUCCUCGGGAAAGCCUGACGGUACCGUAUGAAUAAGCACCGGCUAACUCCGUGCCAGCAGCCGCGGUAAUACGGAGGGUGCAAGCGUUGUCCGGAUUCACUGGGUGUAAAGGGUGUGUAGGCGGGACAGUAUGUCAGAGGUGAAAGCCCACGGCUUAACCGUGGAAUUGCCUUUGAAACUGCUGUUCUUGAGUCUCGGAGAGGUCGCUGGAAUUCGUGGUGUAGCGGUGAAAUGCGUAGAUAUCACGAGGAACACCAGAGGCGUAGGCGGGCGACUGGACGAGAACUGACGCUGAGGCACGAAAGCGUGGGUAGCGAACAGGAUUAGAUACCCUGGUAGUCCACGCCGUAAACGAUGGAUGCUCGGUGUUGGCCCUCAUUGUAGGGUCGGCGCCUUAGCUAACGCGUUAAGCAUCCCACCUGGGGAGUACGCUCGCAAGAGUGAAACUCAAAGGAAUUGACGGGGGCCCGCACAAGCGGUGGAGCAUGUGGCUUAAUUCGAUGCAACGCGAAGAACCUUACCCAGGCUCGAACACGGCCGGACAACCUCUGAAAGGGGGU